GACGAACGCUGGCGGCGUGCUUAACACAUGCAAGUCGAACGGAAAGGCCCUGCUUUUGUGGGGUGCUCGAGUGGCGAACGGGUGAGUAACACGUGAGUAACCUGCCCUUGACUUUGGGAUAACUUCAGGAAACUGAGGCUAAUACCGGAUAGGAGCUCCUGCUGCAUGGUGGGGGUUGGAAAGUUUCGGCGGUUGGGGAUGGACUCGCGGCUUAUCAGCUUGUUGGUGGGGUAGUGGCUUACCAAGGCUUUGACGGGUAGCCGGCCUGAGAGGGUGACCGGCCACAUUGGGACUGAGAUACGGCCCAGACUCCUACGGGAGGCAGCAGUGGGGAAUAUUGCACAAUGGGCGGAAGCCUGAUGCAGCAACGCCGCGUGCGGGAUGACGGCCUUCGGGUUGUAAACCGCUUUCGCCUGUGACGAAGCGUGAGUGACGGUAAUGGGUAAAGAAGCACCGGCUAACUACGUGCCAGCAGCCGCGGUGAUACGUAGGGUGCGAGCGUUGUCCGGAUUUAUUGGGCGUAAAGGGCUCGUAGGUGGUUGAUCGCGUCGGAAGUGUAAUCUUGGGGCUUAACCCUGAGCGUGCUUUCGAUACGGGUUGACUUGAGGAAGGUAGGGGAGAAUGGAAUUCCUGGUGGAGCGGUGGAAUGCGCAGAUAUCAGGAGGAACACCAGUGGCGAAGGCGGUUCUCUGGGCCUUUCCUGACGCUGAGGAGCGAAAGCGUGGGGAGCGAACAGGCUUAGAUACCCUGGUAGUCCACGCUGUAAACGGUGGGUACUAGGUGUGGGGUCCAUUCCACGGGUUCCGUGCCGUAGCUAACGCUUUAAGUACCCCGCCUGGGGAGUACGGCCGCAAGGCUAAAACUCAAAGGAAUUGACGGGGCCCCGCACAAGCGGCGGAGCAUGCGGAUUAAUUCGAUGCAACGCGUAGAACCUUACCUGGGUUUGACAUGGAUCGGGAGCGCUCAGAGAUGGGUGUGCCUCUUUUGGGGUCGGUUCACAGGUGGUGCAUGGCUGUCGUCAGCUCGUGUCGUGAGAUGUUGGGUUAAGUCCCGCAACGAGCGCAACCCUUGUUCACUGUUGCCAGCACGUUAUGGUGGGGACUCAGUGGAGACCGCCGGGGUCAACUCGGAGGAAGGUGGGGAUGACGUCAAGUCAUCAUGCCCCUUAUGUCCAGGGCUUCACGCAUGCUACAAUGGCUGGUACAGAGAGUGGCGAGCCUGUGAGGGUGAGCGAAUCUCGGAAAGCCGGUCUCAGUUCGGAUUGGGGUCUGCAACUCGACCUCAUGAAGUCGGAGUCGCUAGUAAUCGCAGAUCAGCAACGCUGCGGUGAAUACGUUCCCGGG
rnacentral:rRNA from 1 species